rnacentral:rRNA from 1 species
CGUAGGGUGCGAGCGUUAAUCGGAAUUACUGGGCGUAAAGCGUGCGCAGGCGGUUUGUUAAGAUAGGCGUGAAAUCCCCGGGCUCAACCUGGGAACUGCGCUUAUGACUGGCGAGCUAGAGUACGGCAGAGGGGGUGGAAUUCCACGUGUAGCAGUGAAAUGCGUAGAGAUGUGGAGGAACACCAAUGGCGAAGGCAGCCCCCUGGGUCGAUACUGACGCUCAUGCACGAAAGCGUGGGUAGCAAACAGGAUUAGAUACCCUGGUAGUCCACGCCCUAAACGAUGUCAACUAGGUGUUGGGAGGGUAAAACCUUUUAGUACCGGAGCUAACGCGUGAAGUUGACCGCCUGGGGAGUACGGCCGCAAGGUU